CUUUAAAGUGCACAUUUGGCUAAAAUCUUAACUCUUCAGUAAUAAAGGUUUUGGUAAGAGUGACAUGAGGAAUGUUGAAGGGUACUUGAGGACAUGAAGGAAAUGAUAACUCUUAUGAAGAAAUUCUAACCAUUGUAUCUACCUUAGGAAAUGUAAUGAAAGCAAUAAUUAUAAAUGAAAAUAUUUUUAAAGGUAAAUGUAUGCUAAUUAGGGGAUGACAUAGUUUGGAUGUGGUCCCCUUUAAAUUUCACAUUGAAUUAUAAUCCCCGGUGUUGGAGAUGGGGCCUGACGGAAGGUGAUUGGAGUAUGGGGGUGGAUUUCUCAUGCACAGUUUAGAGCCAUCCUCUUUGUACUAUCUUUGCCAUAGUGAGUGAAUGAGUUCUCGUGAAAUCUGAAAUCUGGUUGUUUAAAACUUUAUGGUACCUCCUUCCUCUCUCUGUCUUGCUCCUGCUUUUGCCAUGUGACAUAUCUGCUCCUGCUUCACCUUCUACCAUGAGUAAAAGCUCCCUGCGGCCUCCCCAGAAGCUGAACAGAUGCUGGCACCAUGCUUGUACAGCCUAUAGAACUACAGAGUCUGUCACCAGGCUGGAGUGCAGUGGUGUGAUCUCGGUUCACUGUAACCUCUGCCUCCCAGGUUUCAAGCAAUUCUCCUGCCUCAGCCUCCCAAGUAGCUAGGACUACAGGCAUGCACCACCAUGCCCAGCUAAUUUUUGUAUUUUUAAUAGAAACAAGGUUUCACCAUGUUGGCCAGGGUGGUCUCAAUCUCCUGACUUCGUGAUCCACCCACCUUGGCCUCCCAAAGUGCUGAGAUUAUAGGCGUGAGCCACUGUACUCAGCCAUAUCUUUUUAAUUCGCGUAUUAAAUUCCAUUUGGAAUUCAUAUUCAUGUUUGAAAUUAGGAAGAGGUUUAACUAUAUACACACACAAAACACACAUUGACAUAUAUUUACAAAUAAACAAUUGUAUAAAUUCCUUUAUUGAAAAACUCGUAUUUUCCAAGUUGGUUGAGUCACCAUUAUCAUAUAUUAAAUGAUCAUACAUGUAUGGUUCUGCUUAUAUUUAUUUCUCUACACUAGGUAGAAUAUUUAAUAAUGUUGGAACAGAUACCACUGUCUUGUUCUGGCCUUAUUAAAAAUGUCUUUAUACUCGAGAAGCAAUAUGAUGUUUGAUAUUGAUCUUAGAUAAUUAUGUUUCAUAAUAUUCAGAAAUUCAUUUAGUCCAAUUGUAUCUUGGUAAUUUUAUAAAAAAUGUGUGCUGUAUAUUAUCAAUAUUUUUGUGUCUACUAUAUAUUCAUAAUUUCUCCCCAUUAUUUGCUAACUUGAUGAUAAAUGUUUGUUUUCUCAUACUUAUCCAUCCUUGAAUUGCUAAAAUUGAAUAUGUUUGGUCACAUUUUUGCAUUUCUAAUGGGGCAUGGAUACAUCUGUUACAAAUUUAGAUGCUAUAUUUAACUAUGAAAAAAUGUUUUUUAAUAAAGGACCCA
rnacentral:lncRNA from 10 species